AUGCUCACUUCGGCAGCACACAUACUAAAGUUGAAUGAUUCAGAGAAGAUUAGCAUGGCCCCUGCACAAGGAUGACAUGCAAAUUCGUGACGCAUUCCAUAUUGAA
rnacentral:snRNA from 1 species